GGUGCACUUGAACCCUUGCCCACCAGUAUGGAUGAGACAAUAAAUUGUGCAGAAAAAUGGCAACCAAUAUGGGAAAACCUAAUUAGAAUUAAUGACAACAUUCUUGGGUAAUAACAAUUGUGUUCAUUAGGUUUGGUCUUCAGAGCCUCGAGUACCUGUUGUUUUUGUUUUUGUUUUUUUUUUAACUGCAGGUCAAGUUUCUUUCUAGGUAAUCUUAUUUCCUUAUUUUGGGUCAGAGAAUCAGAGAUUUGUUCUUAUGUGUGGAUGUCUUUAUACAUGCUCCUGAUCCAAGGGAGAGGAGGUGUUGAGCCCUGUGGCUGUAGUUGAGAAGGGCAAUUCUGAGAGACAGGACUAGCUGGAUUUCCUAGGCCAACUAAGAAUCCCUAAGCCUAGCUGGGAAGGUGACCACUUCCACCUUUAAACACGGGGCUUGCAACUUAGCUCACAUCCAACCAAUCAGAUGGUAAGGAGAGCUCACUAAAAUGCUAAUUAGGCAAAAACAGAAGGUAAAGAAAUAGACAAUCAUCCAUUGCCUGAGAGCACAGCAGGGAGAACAAGGAUCGGGAUAUAAACCCAUGCAUUCGAGCCAGCAAUGGCUACCCUCUUUGAGUCCCCUCCCUUUGUAUGGAAGCUCUGUUUUCACUCUAUUUCAACCCAUAUUGGAGCAAGAAUGAGAUAUAACAUUUUAUAGUGUUAAGCCACUGAGAUUUUGGGGGCAUUUUUGUUCCAACAGCCCAUUUUGACCAAUACAACUUCAGAAACAAUGGCCCUGGGUAAGUCAGAGGCAUGGAACCCUCCCCAAUGCUUGGUGAUUUUGCUAACAGUGGGUUGGUGGUUUUAAUAUAUGUCCCAAAUUCUUUGACAGCAUGCCUUCUUUCAAGGGAGAGCUUAAUUUUUCUCCUCUUGAGUACAAGCUGAACUUGGUGACUUGCUUCUAAUGAAUAGAACAAGGCUAAUGCUAUGUGUCUUAGUCCAUUUUGUGUUGCU
rnacentral:lncRNA from 10 species